rnacentral:rRNA from 1 species
AUUGAACGCUGGCGGCAGGCCGAACACAUGCAAGUCGAGCGGAGCGGCGUACGGGGGAGUAAUGCCUAGGAAUCUGCCUGGUAGUGGGGGAUAACGUCAGGAAACGGGAGCUAAUAACGCAUAAUAUAAGAUGAGCAUAGGUCGGAUUAGAUAGUUGGUGGGGUAAAGGCCUACCAAGGCGACGAUCCGUAACUGGUCUGAGAGGAUGAUCAGUCACACUGGAACUGAGACACGGUCCACACUCCUACGGGAGGCAGCAGUGGGGAAUAUUGGACAAUGGGCGAAAUCCUGAUCCAGCCAUGCCGCUGGUGUGAAGAAGUUCUUCGGAUUGUAAAGCACUUUAAGUUGGGAGGCGUUACCAACAGAAUAAGCACCGGCUAACUUCGGGCCAGCAGCCGCGGUAAUAC